CGAGAAAGCCCGCAAGGGUGAGUAAAGCGGCGCACGGGUGCGUAACACGUGGGUAAUCUGCCCUAGAGUCUGGAAUAACUCGCCGAAAGGCGUGCUAAUGCCGGAUGAGACCACGGGAGCCUCGGCUCCUGCGGGAAAAGGUGGCCUCUGUAUACAAGCUAUCGCUCUAGGAUGAGCCCGCGGCCCAUCAGCUAGUUGGCGGGGUAAUGGCCCACCAAGGCUACGACGGGUAGCUGGUCUGAGAGGACGAUCAGCCACACUGGAACUGAGACACGGUCCAGACUCCUACGGGAGGCAGCAGUGGGGAAUCUUGCGCAAUGGGCGAAAGCCUGACGCAGCAACGCCGCGUGUGUGAUGAAGGUCUUCGGAUCGUAAAGCACUGUCGCGAGGGACG
rnacentral:rRNA from 1 species